AAUUUUAGCAUUCACGAAAUUGUCAGCAACACCAUCUCCAAAAAAUCCUAUUUUUGCACAAUAUUUUGGCUUCAACAACAACGAGCUACAGCAUGGGAAGAAGCAUGGACAAUGUUCCAAUAGAUAUUCAUUACAAUAAGUCACUUGAUAAGUCAAGUAAUUAUAGUUACUGGAUUGGUUAAUCAAUCGUCAUCACUGCCACCAGCUAUGGCAGGUGAGAACACUCGUCAUCACUGCCACCAGCUAUGGCAGGUGAGAACACUCGUCAUCACUGCCACCAGCUAUGGCAGGUGAGAACACUCGU